AUAACAUCUUAAUUCUUCCACUGCUGGAGGGCAAAUGAGUCUCCAUAACCCCAACAAAACCUGCCUUCAAGCCUUAUAGCAAAGCUUUAUAGAAGCACUGUGGAUCUUCCCUACAUGGAAACAUUGAGUCAUUUCUUCUAAGGGGAACAUGCUGUGUUUGACAGACCACUGCUCUCCCUCAACAAGGUUAUGGUGACAUUCAUCACACAGUACUGCUGAGUACAGAAGUUGGAUGCACUUCAUAACAUCUCCUCUCCCCCACUUAAUCUGCUCAUGGCCUGCAAAAAAGAAUAUCUGCGUGGUGUUUUCAAAUUACUUGUCUAUUGGAAAUUAAGCUUAAUCAGCAAAUCUGAAGUCACAGCAAACACUCCAGCAUUUAUGUUGGCAAGAAGCCCAGGUAUUAAUCAAGGGUAGUAGUCCUUCCACAGACCUGCAGAUAUCCCUGCGGACAGAAUAAAGCAAAGUCUCUUUAGGAACCUCAGCUGCUCAGAGGAGGCAAUCCAAAUUGGCGUUGUGUAUAUUCACAGUGUCCCGAGCCAGAAGUCAGUCUCUGGGCUACAUCUGUACAGUAUCGAUGGGAUCAGGAGUUUCCAGCAGCUACCACAGCAACAAUCAGAAGCAAAAGGCAAUGCUGAGACUUGAAAGACAGGAGGAGCAGAGCCAACAUAAGAGAGUCAAAGGCAGCUUGAAUUCCACAUAAUAUAAGACAGAUAAAACUUAAGCCCUAUGUGUAUAUACAUAGAGAUAUACAUAGACAUUCUUUGUAUCAAAGCUUUCUGAAGCUCAAGCCUUUGUCCCAGCUUUGUUAAGAUUCUCAGGGUUCAGUUCCUGGACAACUGCAAAAACAGAAUCCACGCUGUUAGCCCAGGGCGAUGUGAAGAUAAUUCAGCACAACCCUCCAUCAUUUCAGACUAAGCUAAACUGCACUAUCUCACAGUUGGUAGGGAGUAAGGGUGUACACAAAGACUGUUUCCAUGGUUCAGCUGCCGCAAGAGAAUUUCUUAAGUAAUUUGACUGAAACUGAGCCCUCAGACCCAGAGCUGACUGACACAAAUGUUACGGAGUGGCUUGGGGAAAGCUAGACACUUUUAUACCUCUUGCUGCCAAAUAUUUACCAUCUGUGCAGCACAGCACCGAUAGAUGAGCUACUCGUAACUCAGCCCAAUGGCUCAGGUCACUCACAGGGAAAGUCGGAACAGAAACUUCCUUCCUUCAGAGAGCCAAGACGCUCCAUGUCUGCAUGUUACCCAUGACUUGCAGAACGGAAAAAACAAAUUAAUUGUCACAGGCUGUUGUGGAAAAGAAGACUUGAAUAAAAUA